rnacentral:lncRNA from 1 species
GAUCAGAGGCCUCACUGGAAGGGAACAACAACAGAAGCAAGCAGGCUGAGUGGAGCUGAAAUGUAAAAUAGCGUGGGGGCUUCAAGGGGUGCUUCAACACCUGAAAGGCCAGAAGCUCUUGCCGAAGGUCAUCCCCACACUUGACAAUGACUGACAGGAGCCGCCAAUUGGGGAGAUGGCCGUAGGGGGAGCCCUCUCUGA